rnacentral:rRNA from 2 species
GACAUUGAUCUAUCACAAUCCACACCUGUGAACUUGCUUGUUGGCCUCCGCUUGCGGGCUGGGCCAGUUGGAUUAAGUUCCGACUGGUUCGGGGCCUCAUUCCGGCUUCGGCUGGCUUGGGGUCGGUCUCUAUUAAUAACCAACACCAAACCAAACUAUAAAACAAACUGAGGACGGCUUAGAGCCUGACUCACUAACCAAGACAACUCUGAACAACGGAUAUCUUGGCUAGCACAACGAUGAAGAACGCAGCGAAAUGCGAUACGUAGUGUGAAUUGCAGAAAUACGUGAACCAUCGAAUCUUUGAACGCAAAUUGCGCUCGCGGCUUCGGCCAAGAGCAUGUCUGCCUCAGCGUCGGGUUAAUACUCGCUAAAACUCUCCUUGAGAGUCUAAGCGGACCUGGCUUUCCCGACUCAUUUAGUUGAGUCGGGUCUGCUGAAGUACAGAGGUUGACGCAUGGACCCAAUAUGGGCCUCAACUGGGUAGGCAAUUCGUUGCUAAUGCUUUAGUUGAUGGCUUCGGACUGUGCAAUGUCGGCCCAACCAGGAACCGAGCUUGCUCGGAACAACCCAUUUUCUCGACCUGAGCUCAGGCAAGAUUACCCGCUGAACUUAAGCAUAUCAAUAAGCGGAGGAAAAGAAAUAAACCAGGA